rnacentral:rRNA from 1 species
GGCCAGACUCCUACGGGAGGCAGCAGUGGGGGAUAUUGCACAAUGGAGGAAACUCUGAUGCAGCGACGCCGCGUGAGGGAAGACGGUCUUCGGAUUGUAAACCUCUGUCUUUGGGGAAGAAAAUGACGGUACCCAAAGAGGAAGCUCCGGCUAACUACGUGCCAGCAGCCGCGGUAAUACGUAGGGAGCGAGCGUUGUCCGGAAUUACUGGGUGUAAAGGGAGCGUAGGCGGGCGAGAAAGUUGAAUGUUAAAUCUACCGGCUUAACUGGUAGCUGCGUUCAAAACUUCUUGUCUUGAGUGAAGUAGAGGCAGGCGGAAUUCCUAGUGUAGCGGUGAAAUGCGUAGAUAUCAGGAGGAACACCGGUGGCGAAGGCGACUUUCUGGACUGCACCUGACGCUGAGGCGCGAAAGCGUGGGUAGCGAACGGGAUUAGAUACCCGUGUA